GCGCCUAUAGCUCAGAUGGAUAGAGCACCAGCCUCCGGAGCUGGGUGGGCAGGUUCGAGUCCUGCUAGGCGCGCCA
rnacentral:tRNA from 1 species